rnacentral:rRNA from 1 species
GAUGAACGCUAGCGGCAGGCCUAAUACAUGCAAGUCGAACGGGUGGUCGCAAGACCACUAGUGGCGCACGGGUGCGUAACGCGUAACCAACCUGCCCCGAUCUGGGGGAUAGCCCGCCGAAAGGCGGAUUAAUACCGCAUAUACCCGCAGCCUGGCAUCAGGCAACGGGGAAAGAUUGAUUGGAUCGGGAUGGGGUUGCGUGACAUUAGCUAGUUGGCGGGGUAAGGGCCCACCAAGGCGACGAUGUCUAGGGGAGCUGAGAGGGUGAUCCCCCACACUGGCACUGAGAUACGGGCCAGACUCCUACGGGAGGCAGCAGUAGGGAGUAUUGGGCAAUGGGCGAGAGCCUGACCCAGCCAUGCCGCGUGCCGGAUGAAGGCCUUCUGGGUUGUAAACGGCUUUUCUCAGGGAAGAAAAAGACCUUGCGAGGUACACUGACGGUACCUGAGGAAUAAGCACCGGCUAACUCCGUG